rnacentral:rRNA from 1 species
GAAUAUUGCACAAUGGGCGCAAGCCUGAUGCACCCAUGCCGCGUGUAUGAAGAAGGCCUUCGGGUUGUAAAGUACUUUCAGCGGGGAGGAAGGUGUUGUGGUUAAUAACCACAGCAAUUGACGUUACCCGCAGAAGAAGCACCGGCUAACUCCGUGCCAGCAGCCGCGGUAAUACGGAGGGUGCAAGCGUUAAUCGGAAUUACUGGGCGUAAAGCGCACGCAGGCGGUCUGUCAAGUC